rnacentral:rRNA from 1 species
UGCGUAGGCGGAUAUGUAAGUCAGACGUGAAAUUCCGGGGCUCAACCCCGGAGCUGCAUCUGAAACUGCGUAUCUAGCAGGAUGGCGGAGAAAACGGAAUUCCAUGUGUAGCGGUGAAAUGCGUAGAUAUAUGGAAGAACACCUGUGGCGAAAGCGGUUUUCUAGCCUACCCUGGACGCUGAGGCACGAAAGGCAGGGGAGCAAACA